GCUUCAGUAGUCUAGUGGUUAGAGCGUCCGCCUCAGCUGCGGAAGGUAGUGGGUUCGAUCCCCGGUCGAGUCA